UACGGAGGGUCCAAGCGUUAUCCGGAAUCAUUGGGUUUAAAGGGUUCGCAGGCGGUUAAUUAAGUCAGUGGUGAAAUCUCGGGGCUCAACUCCGAAACUGCCAUUGAUACUGAUUGACUUGAAUUAAGUUGGAGUAGGCGGAAUGUGUAGUGUAGCGGUGAAAUGCUUAGAUAUUACACAGAACACCGAUAGCGAAGGCAGCUUACUAAACUUAUAUUGACGCUCAUGAACGAAAGCGUGGGGAGCGAACAGG
rnacentral:rRNA from 1 species